GUCUAUUGAUGUUCCAUACAUGCAAGUUUCCAUCUCCUGAACCUUCAACAUGAACACAAAGCAUCUUACUUCUAAUAUCAACAUGGCUACUGGUUCACACUGUGAGAUCCACUUAGUCCAGACUUGGCGUAUUCACCUAGUAUACAGGUAAAAAUAUUUCAGUAAUUAGUUAUGAAUGGCAGCCCUGUGGAGUAUAGUUUCAUUGAAGGAACUAGUUUAACAACAACAACAACAACCGCCCAGUAUAAUCUCACUUAGUGGGGGGUCUGGGGAGGGUAGUGUCUAUGCAGACCAUACCCCUACCCUAGGGUAGAGAGGCUAUUUCCAAAUAGACCAUGACAUCAUUCCCUCCAAGAACUUCCCACCUUGCUCUUGGGGAGACUCGAACUCACAACCUCUCGGUUGAAACUGAAGGUUGCUUACAAUCCGAUAUGGACAAGAAUGUGGCAAAGAAAAAUCACAAAGGACGAUCGAAAGAAAAAGAGAAAAAAUAAAAAGAAAGAAUUGUAAACAACUUCUAGUUAUAUCCUUUCUGAUAAAAUCAGUGAAUGGGGAACUGCAACCAGUGGCCGAUAAAACACUUUGUACCAGAGUAUCUGAAGAACUAGAGAGAGAGAAAUAUAGAAUAAAAUAUUCCACUCUUGUUAGGAUCAAAUCAUAUUUAAUAAACUGUUUCAUAACUUUCACAUAUUAUGGCAUACUUCGCAACAUGUAUGAGGUGGAUAUUAAUGUCUCACAUAUCAGAGGUUACUUAUUCACAUUCAUGAAAGUAAAUUAGCAUUCAUUAAGCAAGGAUGGUCAUGCUUACUUGUUCAAAUAACUGCGCACAAUGUAAUUUCGCAGAACUUCCAUAUCAUGCUAUUCAUCAUCAGUAGUUAAAAUGCUCUAAAU
rnacentral:lncRNA from 1 species